rnacentral:tRNA from 1 species
GCCCGUAGCUCAGUUGGUAGAGCAACACUUUUGUAAAGUGAAGGUCCGCGGUUCGAAUCCGCGAGGUGGCUCCA